rnacentral:rRNA from 1 species
UUAGGUAAUACGUGAGUGACCCUUNCCAUGACUCUGGGAUAAGCCCGGGAAACUGGGUCUAAUACCGGAUAUUUCGCUUCCUCCUGCCUGGGGGGUGGUGGAAAGGGGNUCUGUNCUGGUCUUGGAUGGGCUCACGGCCUAUCAGCUUGUUGGUGGAGGUAAUGGCUCACCAAGUCAGACGNCGGGUAGCCGGCCUGAGAGGGUGACCGGCCAACAACUGGGACUUGAGNACACGGCCCAGAACUUCCUACGGGAGGCAGCAGUGGGGAAUAUUGCACAAUGGGCGCAAGCCUGAUGCAGCGACGCCGCGUGAGGGAUGACGGCCUUCGGGUUGUAAACCUCUUUCAGCAGGGAAGAAGCGAAAGUGACGGUACCUCAG